AUGGCGCGGAAGCACGGCUGCAGCUCCCGGCCCACACCCUGCAGAAGCCUCAAUAGUAAAUUUGCGAUGGGAGGAGUGGGUGCGUGGGAGGAGAAGGCGGCGGCGGCGGUUUCGGUCUGUGAUCUGCUUCGACGCAGGAGGCGGCGGACUGAUCCGGCGGAAGUGGCUGCCGUGAGGAUGGGAGGAAGAAGCCAUCGUUGGCCGGCUGAGGGCCGGCAGGUCUGGAUCCGUGCUGAGUCUCCUGCAUCAGGUCUUCAACGCCCGCCUCCUCCUUUUUCCAACUCUCCCCUCUUGAUUCCCUGGUGUUAUUCCGAAAAUGCGACACAAGGAAUAAAGCAGGCUUAUGAAAGCUUUACUGAUGGACUUGGAAGGACUUCCUCUGCUUUGAUUGGGAACCCUAUUAACGUGUAUAAUCGCGGGGCUGGUGCCAGGUUAGCACUGACUACUGCAAUUUGUGGAGCUCCGGCUGCAGUGGUAGCUCCAGUAUCAGCAACUGCCCGUGCUUUACAUUAUGCACUUCUUGGUAUAAGGAACAGGUGUGCAUAA
rnacentral:rRNA from 1 species